GGUAUUUCGACAUGCCGGCCGAAGUCUGUUGUUGACAGUGUCUAAUCAAGCAUACUCCUUUGCUUCAAUAUGCUUCAACGCCUUGUAGAAGUUGCAGUACUUGGACAUGUCCCACAGUGCGCUGUAUUGUCGUAUGUUGCGAUAUGAGAGACGGGACCCAGCUUUGGACGAUCGAAUGCAGCGACACCAAGCGGAAGAUCCAGUCUGCGAAUCAAAAUGGCCACCAUGCAUGAAGGUUUCGGAGAUUUCUUGCCAAAUCACGAUCGGUCAUGUGCGGUACUACCAAGUGUCAGGCAAGAGAAACUGAUGCAGUUUGUGCAUUAGUUUUGCAGGGUGUCCAGGAACACCUGGUGUCCCAGUGCACCACAGUCAUCAAAGAAGUUGGGCUGCAUCAAACGUGCACUGCAGGUUGGUCUGUUUCGGAAGAGUGUUUACUCCAGUAAUACAAAAAGGUGGUGCUGUCAUAUUUCUGGAAUAUUGCUCACUGAUAGAAAG